rnacentral:rRNA from 1 species
UGCCAGUAGUAGUAUUGUCACGUCGAGCGAUGGAUUAGAGCUUGCUCUUAUGAAGUUAGCGGCGGACGGGUGAGUAACACGUGGGUAACCUGCCCAUAAGACUGGGAUAACUCCGGGAAACCGGGGCAAAUACCGGAUAACAUUUUGAACCGCAUGGUUCGAAAUUGAAAGGCGGCUUCGGCUGUCACUUAUGGAUGGACCCGCGUCGCAUUAGCUAGUUGGUGAGGUAACGGCUCACCAAGGCAACGAUGCGUAGCCGACCUGAGAGGGUGAUCGGCCACACUGGGACUGAGACACGGCCCAGACUCCUACGGGAGGCAGCAGUAGGGAAUCUUCCGCAAUGGACGAAAGUCUGACGGAGCAGCGCCGCGUGAGUGAUGAAGGCUUUCGGGUCAUAAAACUCUGUUGUUAGGGAAAAACAUGUGCUAGUUGAAUAAC